UACGUAGGGGGCUAGCGUUGUCCGGAAUCAUUGGGCGUAAAGAGCGUGUAGGCGGCCCGAUAAGUCCGCCGUGAAAGUCCAGGGCUCAACCCUGGAAUGCCGGUGGAAACUGUCGGGCUGGAGUCCGGAAGAGGCGAGUGGAAUUCCUGGUGUAGCGGUGAAAUGCGCAGAUAUCAGGAGGAACACCAAUGGCGAAGGCAGCUCGCUGGGACGGAACUGACGCUGAGACGCGAAAGCGUGGGGAGCAAACAGG
rnacentral:rRNA from 1 species